UUGGAGGGCAAGUCUGGUGCCAGCAGCCGCGGUAAUUCCAGCUCCAAUAGCGUAUAUUAAAGUUGUUGCAGUUAAAAAGCUCGUAGUUGAAUUUCGGGAUCAAUAUAUUGGUCGUGCCUCUGGUAUGCACUGGUAUUAUUGAUUUCUACCUUCUGACGAACUGUGAUGUCAUUAAUUUGGUGUCAUGGGGAAUCAGGACUGUUACUUUGAAAAAAUUAGAGUGUUUAAAGCAGGCACACGCUUGAAUACAUUAGCAUGGAAUAAUGAAAUAGGACGUUUGACCCUAUUUUGUUGGUUUCUAGGAUCGACGUAAUGAUUAAUAGGGAUAGUUGGGGGCAUUAGUAUUCAAUUGUCAGAGGUGAAAUUCUUGGAUUUAUUGAAGACUAACUACUGCGAAAGCAUUUGCCAAGGAUGUUUUCGUUAAUCAAGAACGAAAGUUAGGGGAUCGAAGACGAUCAGAUACCGUCGUAGUCUUAACCAUAAACUAUGCCGACUAGGGAUCGGAUGAUGUUAAUUUUUUAAUGACUCAUUCGGCGCCUUACGGGAAAC
rnacentral:rRNA from 1 species